CACAUGCAGUCGAGCGGUAACAGAGAGUAGCUUGCUACUUUGCUGACGAGCGGCGGACGGGUGAGUAAUGCUUGGGAAUAUGCCUUUUGGUGGGGGACAACAGUUGGAAACGACUGCUAAUACCGCAUGAUGUCUACGGACCAAAGUGGGGGACCUUCGGGCCUCACGCCAAAAGAUUAGCCCAAGUGGGAUUAGCUAGUUGGUAAGGUAAUGGCUUACCAAGGCAACGAUCCCUAGCUGGUUUGAGAGGAUGAUCAGCCACACUGGGACUGAGACACGGCCCAGACUCCUACGGGAGGCAGCAGUGGGGAAUAUUGCACAAUGGGCGCAAGCCUGAUGCAGCCAUGCCGCGUGUGUGAAGAAGGCCUUCGGGUUGUAAAGCACUUUCAGUCAGGAGGAAAGGGUGUGUUUUAAUAGAGCACAUCUGUGACGUUACUGACAGAAGAAGCNCCGGCUAACUCCGUGCCAGCAGCCGCGGUAAUACGGAGGGUGCGAGCGUUAA
rnacentral:rRNA from 1 species